rnacentral:snRNA from 1 species
UUGCUUCAGCAGCAGAUAUACUAAAAUUGGAACAAUACAGAGAAGAUCAGCAUGGCCCUUGUGCAAGGAUGACACACAAAUUGAUGAAGUGUUACAUAUUUUU